rnacentral:rRNA from 1 species
CUCGUAGGCGGUUUGUCGCGUCGAUCGUGAAAACUCGGGGCUCAACCUCGAGCUUGCGGUCGAUACGGGCAGACUUGAGUACUGCAGGGGAGACUGGAAUUCCUGGUGUAGCGGUGAAAUGCGCAGAUAUCAGGAGGAACACCGGUGGCGAAGGCGGGUCUCUGGGCAGUAACUGACGCUGAUGAGCGAAAGCGUGGGUAGCGAACA